AUGAACGCUAGCUACAGGCUUAACACAUGCAAGUCGAGGGGCAUCAGGAAGAAAGCUUGCUUUCUUUGCUGGCGACCGGCGCACGGGUGAGUAACACGUAUCCAACCUGCCCUUUACUCGGGGAUAGCCUUUCGAAAGAAAGAUUAAUACCCGAUGGCAUAAUGAUUCCGCAUGGUUUCAUUAUUAAAGGAUUCCGGUAAAGGAUGGGGAUGCGUUCCAUUAGGUUGUUGGUGAGGUAACGGCUCACCAAGCCUUCGAUGGAUAGGGGUUCUGAGAGGAAGGUCCCCCACAUUGGAACUGAGACACGGUCCAAACUCCUACGGGAGGCAGCAGUGAGGAAUAUUGGUCAAUGGGCGCUAGCCUGAACCAGCCAAGUAGCGUGAAGGAUGAAGGCUCUAUGGGUCGUAAACUUCUUUUAUAUAAGAAUAAAGUGCAGUAUGUAUACUGUUUUGUAUGUAUUAUAUGAAUAAGGAUCGGCUAACUCCGUGCCAGCAGCCGCGGUAAUACGGAGGAUCCGAGCGUUAUCCGGAUUUAUUGGGUUUAAAGGGAGCGUAGGUGGACUGGUAAGUCAGUUGUGAAAGUUUGCGGCUCAACCGUAAAAUUGCAGUUGAUACUGUCAGUCUUGAGUACAGUAGAGGUGGGCGGAAUUCGUGGUGUAGCGGUGAAAUGCUUAGAUAUCACGAAGAACUCCGAUUGCGAAGGCAGCUCACUGGACUGCAACUGACACUGAUGCUCGAAAGUGUGGGUAUCAAACAGGAUUAGAUACCCUGGUAGUCCACACAGUAAACGAUGAAUACUCGCUGUUUGCGAUAUACAGUAAGCGGCCAAGCGAAAGCAUUAAGUAUUCCACCUGGGGAGUACGCCGGCAACGGUGAAACUCAAAGGAAUUGACGGGGGCCCGCACAAGCGGAGGAACAUGUGGUUUAAUUCGAUGAUACGCGAGGAACCUUACCCGGGCUUAAAUUGCAGUGGAAUGAUGUGGAAACAUGUCAGUGAGCAAUCACCGCUGCGAAGGUGCUGCAUGGUUGUCGUCAGCUCGUGCCGUGAGGUGUCGGCUUAAGUGCCAUAACGAGCGCAACCCUUAUCUUUAGUUACUAACAGGUCAUGCUGAGGACUCUAGAGAGACUGCCGUCGUAAGAUGUGAGGAAGGUGGGGAUGACGUCAAAUCAGCACGGCCCUUACGUCCGGGGCUACACACGUGUUACAAUGGGGGGUACAGAAGGCAGCUAGCGGGUGACCGUAUGCUAAUCCCAAAAUCCUCUCUCAGUUCGGAUCGAAGUCUGCAACCCGACUUCGUGAAGCUGGAUUCGCUAGUAAUCGCGCAUCAGCCACGGCGCGGUGAAUACGUUCCCGGGCCUUGUACACACCGCCCGUCAAGCCAUGGGAGCCGGGGGUACCUGAAGUACGUAACCGCAAGGAUCGUCCUAGGGUAAAACUGGUGACUGGGGCU
rnacentral:rRNA from 1 species